ensembl:lincRNA
CUAGGGAAGAGCUGGAAUAAGUGGGAGGGAGAAGCAGUGUUUGUUUCUGUGAUUUUCUCCCUGGGAGUUACUUCAGAAGAAGGUCAAGACUGCCCAACCAUAAAAUAAACUCUGGACCACUGGCUGAGAAUCUUUCCCUGGAAGUUGACACAGACGGGAACAGUCCUGCCCUGCCUCCUCUCUGAGUCAGCCUCAUGAAAAUUCUCCCUGAGCAGAGUUCUGUAGAGGAAAAAACCAUAUGCAGUCUCCAACACCAAAUGUGUAAUGCUCGCUGGCGACGAUGCGGUGUAAAAGAACCAGAUAAGUGAAGAGGAGAACUUUGAAAAUUUGGGUUGUAAUUUUGAUAAUUUUAUUAGGAUUUCUAAUAAAUGUCAUCGAGGCUCCUCUGGAAGAAUGUGCUGUUUUGUUGACUGUUCCCAGGUGCUUAAGUCACAGGACUGUGGAGGAAUAGCCCUGUUUAUAGAAGACUUAGUACUGGCACAUAUUUAAUGACAUUAUUGAAUAAGUUCAGGGAAGGAUGCAUAAGUUCGACUGGAUUUAAAACUACAUGUGCACGGCAAUUUAGAGGUUACACAUUGGGCC